rnacentral:snoRNA from 1 species
UGAUGACAAAUCUCCGGAAUCUCUGUAACGCUGUGAUGAUUACUUUGAACCCUUUUGUCUGAUGGCUGCUCGAGUGGGGAAGGGGGUUUCUGUUUUC